rnacentral:tRNA from 1 species
GUGGGUAUAGCUUAGUGGUAGAGCACAUGUUUAGCAUGCACGAGGUCCUGGGUUCAAUUCCCAGCAACUCCA